UACGAAGGGGGCUAGCGUUGCUCGGAAUCACUGGGCGUAAAGGGUGCGUAGGCGGGUCUUUAAGUCAGGGGUGAAAUCCUGGAGCUCAACUCCAGAACUGCCUUUGAUACUGAGGAUCUUGAGUUCGGGAGAGGUGAGUGGAACUGCGAGUGUAGAGGUGAAAUUCGUAGAUAUUCGCAAGAACACCAGUGGCGAAGGCGGCUCACUGGACCGGUACUGACGCUGAGGCGCGAAAGCGUGGGGAGCAAACGGG
rnacentral:rRNA from 1 species